rnacentral:tRNA from 1 species
AGGGUUGUAGUUAAAUAUAACAUUUGAAUUGCAAUCAAAAAGUAUUGAUUAAUCAAUUUACCUUU